rnacentral:rRNA from 1 species
CCUACGGGAGGCAGCAGUGAGGAAUAUUGGACAAUGGGCGCAAGCCUGAUCCAGCCAUGCCGCGUGCAGGAAGAAGCAUCUAUGGUGUGUAAACUGCUUUUGUACGGGAAGAAACACUGCUACGUGUAGCAGCUUGACGGUACCGUAAGAAUAAGGAUCGGCUAACUCCGUGCCAGCAGCCGCGGUAAUACGGAGGAUCCAAGCGUUAUCCGGAAUCAUUGGGUUUAAAGGGUCCGUAGGCGGUUUGGUAAGUCAGUGGUGAAAGCCCAUCGCUUAACGAUGGAACGGCCAUUGAUACUGCCAGACUUGAAUUACUAGGAAGUAACUAGAAUAUGUAGUGUAGCGGUGAAAUGCUUAGAUAUUACAUGGAAUACCAAUUGCGAAGGCAGGUUACUACUAGUUUAUUGACGCUGAUGGACGAAAGCGUGGGGAGCGAACAGGAUUAGAUACCCUGGUAGUCCACGCCGUAAACGAUGGAUACUAGCUGUUCGGGGUAACCUGAGUGGCUAAGCGAAAGUGAUAAGUAUCCCGCCUGGGGAGUACGUUCGCAAGAAUGAACUCAAAGGAAUUGACGGCGUGAGAGAGACGACGACGACGACGAGGGAGGAGG